CCUAACACAUGCAAGUCGAACGGUAACAGGAAGAAGCUUGCUUCUUUGCUGACGAGUGGCGGACGGGUGAGUAAUGUCUGGGAAACUGCCUGAUGGAGGGGGAUAACUACUGGAAACGGUAGCUAAUACCGCAUAACGUCGCAAGACCAAAGAGGGGGACCUUCGGGCCUCUUGCCAUCAGAUGUGCCCAGAUGGGAUUAGCUAGUAGGUGGGGUAACGGCUCACCUAGGCGACGAUCCCUAGCUGGUCUGAGAGGAUGACCAGCCACACUGGAACUGAGACACGGUCCAGACUCCUACGGGAGGCAGCAGUGGGGAAUAUUGCACAAUGGGCGCAAGCCUGAUGCAGCCAUGCCGCGUGUAUGAAGAAGGCCUUCGGGUUGUAAAGACUUUU
rnacentral:rRNA from 1 species